GGGGGUAUAGCUCAGUGGUAGAGCAUUUGUUUGCAGCUCAAGAGGGCCCUGGUUCAAAUCUGGGUACCCUGUGCU